ensembl:snoRNA small nucleolar RNA SNORD70
UACUCUGUUGUCAAUGAUGCAUUCUUGGUUAAACUGAAAUGUAAUGAUUUAAUACCACAUUUCGUCACUACCACUGAGACAACAGAUAA